CAUGCUCUGGAGCUAAAUGCCGAUUCUUCUCGAAAGCAAGAAAGAUUGAUUCAAGGACCGAGCUCUACCAUACGGACGACUUACAAAUGCCUGAGUAAGCAGCGGAUCGUUAACUUUUAAAUGCUUGUCCAGCUCCCCAUGUAAGCCGUGAACACAACGAUCACAGAGCUUGAAAGGCAAAUCCUUUUCGAGCUUAUUCUUUCUGAUUUUGGUGCUUCUCUCAAUGUACUAGAGGACUACGCGCUACUGUACUAACUGUAGCGGCUGCAAAUGACGAAGUUUCCAUGGCCGUUGCUUAUGUACGAAUUGCGGUCCAGUCGGCUUACCAUCUGCGCCUCCCGUGUCACAGGGAGCCUUAAAUUAGAACCAACAAGAGUGAUGUUGCUGCAAGAGGCUCGAAAACCACCUUCUCUACCAUAAGCCAGGCUUCCUCUGAGAUUUGUGAGUGUGUUUGUUAUCGAGCAGUGUCCCUGGGGUGUCUCCAGAGCAGUCGGCUUCGAGAAUGUUGGUAUCGAGAAAGUAUUUGGGGUUCUUGCAGCUGUAGAAAAAGGCACCGCAGCACAACUGAUUGAAUGACAAACAAAAGAACGAUCACAAAGGUAUUUCUUCA